CAACAAUUCUGCAUCCAUAACAAUGAUUUUUCGGGGGGGGUUGUGUUUCUUCUCCAACAGAUGAAAGUGAUGAAUCAUCCUCAUCAUCCGAGGAGGAGAUUUCCUCAGAAGCAUGUCCUACACUGGUGACGGCAGAGGAGGAAGAUGAGCCUGAAAAUGAAGAUGACAGUGAUGCAUAUGCUACAUCAGCCCUAAGUCCGGAGGAGAGACAAGAGGAGGAGGCGGAAAGUGAAUCUGAAACAGACAGUGGCACUGAAUAUGCAGCCACAGCAGAGGAUGAGGUGGAAAAAAAAGAAACGGUUGAAAUAGGGACACAAACAGAGCCCUCAGUUACACAAUUCAGGGACCUUCGUCAGGCACUGCGAAAUUUUGUAGAGGCUGCAAGAGUACUAGAGCAUUCACUUCAAAAUCUUUAAGAAAUUCAUUGUAUAUAUUUUUCUUUGUUUUACAACAAUCAUUUUAUGAAUAAUUAAAAAUUUAUAUUUAUAA